UGUGCGCAAGUCACUGAGUGUUACGAAGCUCAAAGGCGAAGUGAAAGCAAAGGGUUCCCUUAGGAGCCUCAGGUGUGAUCUGCGAACCUCGGUGAGCAGCGCAACACCGGCUCGUCCAUACUAUUUUAGUUGGGCGACGCAAGAGCGUACAGACUGAGACCCGAAAGAUGGUGAUCUAUGCUUGUGUAGGUUGAAGCCAGAGGAAACUCUGGUGGAAGACCGCAGCGGUUCUGACGUGCAAAUCGAUCGUCAAACAUGAGUAUAGGGGCGAAAGACUAAUCGAACCAUCUAGUAGCUGGUUCCUGCCGAAGUUUCCCUCAGGAUAGCUGGCACUCAUGAAAAAAUCAGUUUUCUCCGGUAAAGCGAACAUUUAGACGUAAUGGGGUCGAAACGAACUCAACGUAUUCGUGACUUUAAAUGGGUGAGAAGUCGUAGUAGCUUUAUUUGURCUAUGACACUUGAUGAGAGUCCAAGUGGCCAAUUUUGGUAAGCAGAACUGGCGCUGUGGGAUGARCCCACACGGGUGUUAAGGUGCCUAACGCAACGCUCAUGAGAUACCACCCAAGGUGUUGGKUGAUAUUGACAGCAGGACGGUGKCCAUGGAAGUCGGAAUCCGCUAAGGAGUGUGUAACAACUCACCUGCCGAAUCAACCAGCCCUGUAAAUUGAUGGCGCUGGAGCGUUGGACCUAUACCGCCCUGUUACCUCAAGCCGCAUGAGGAAGAGGUAACAAGUAGGCAGGCGGAGUGGUAAGCUUCGAAGAAUUGGGUGUAAACCUGAUUGGAGCUGCCACUCGUGCAGAUCUUGGUGGUAGUAGCAACUACCCGAG
rnacentral:rRNA from 1 species